UCAACGAAAUUGAUGGGAAUUUGUUUGCUUCUCUGCUGUUUGAGUGGUCAUUAGAUCGAUCAUCUCUCGUUGCUUGUGACAAUUUCAAAUGCGUUUGUGUGCUUGGCUAGUUGCUUGAAUCCUCCGCAGCUUUGUUGUCGUUGAGGGGCUGAGGAAGAUUAUAGACCCACUUGUUGUUCAGCUUUUGGCAUUAGUUGAUGCCGAUGGCGUUUAAUUGACUUGAUGUGUUGGAAACAGCUUGUUUGUUGAGAAAGUUGGGAAAGUGUUCGUGGGUCGAUGGUAGGUGUGAUGGUUGUGGUGGCUCUGCGGUUGGGUUGUGGGGUCAUAGCUUUCUGGAUAAUUGAGUACUCUUUUUUUGUUUUUGUUUUUGUUGUUUUUCAUAUUUCUGUUUACUUUCGAGUUUCUAGACGUUGUGACGGUGCUUCUUGGAUUUACACCGUCGUAGGUUAGAUUGUAAUUGUGGACCGUCACAAUUGUACCAUGUCUGAUAGAAUUUGUGAUUGCUUAGAUACACAGGCAUCGAAAGAGCUGCUUUGCAGUAGAGGAGGAUCGCGACUCUGGGUGGUCAUUCUUGAAGGCAACAGGGGCUUACAACAUGGAUCAAAGUCCAAUGAAGAUGAAUCUUGGUGUUGGAGCACACCAAACGGAGGAGAAAAACGAAUUGCCUCAAAAGUUGUGGUGGUUACUUAGGACGCUAUGUUUAUCGCUAUCUUUUGCGCCUGUCAUUACGCAUAUGUUCAGUCUUUUGAAUCAUUACCAUUUUCGUACAAUGCUCUCACAUGUCGGCGGAGUUCGAGACAAAAUUGCAAUUCAUGCAGGAUCUGACGUGAAAUUUGCAAUUGUGACCUUUA